AGAGGGAGGUUGGCGACAUCACUGGUAUUGAGGUAAUGGCUGCCAACAGUACCAGACAUGCCGCCCUCCUCCCCCUAC
rnacentral:pre_miRNA from 2 species